rnacentral:rRNA from 1 species
AUUGAACGCUGGCGGCAUGCCUAACACAUGCAAGUCGAGCUGAGCGGCGGACGGGUGCGUAAUGCCUAGGCAUCUGCCUGGUCGUGGUGGAUAACGUCCGGAAACGGGCGCUAAUACCGCAUACUAUCAGAUGAGCCUAGGUCGGAUUAGCUAGUUGGUGGGGUACAGGCCUACCAAGGCGACGAUCCUUAACUGGUCUGAGAGGAUGAUCAGUCACACUGGAACUGAGACACGGGCCAGACGCCAACGGGAGGCAGCAGUGGGGAAUAUUGGACAAUGGGCGAAAGCCUGAUCCAGCCAUGCCGCGUGGGUGAAGAAGGUCGUCGGAUUGUAAAGAACUUUAAGUUGGGAGGCGUUACCAACAGAAUAAGCACCGGCUAACUUCGUGCCAGCAGCCGCGGUAAUUC